AUCAGGUAGGGACACCCGCUGAACUUAAGCAUAUCAAUAAGCGGAGGAAAAGAAAAUAACAAUGAUUCCCCUAGUAACUGCGAGUGAAGAGGGACAAGCUCAAAUUUAAAAUCUGUUAGGUUUUACCUGACCGAGUUGUAAUUUGAAGAGACGUUUUCAGCGUUUUUGGUCAGCCCAAGUCCUAUUGAAUGGGGCAUCAUGGAGGGUGAUAAUCCCGUCCGGUUGAUCAUUGCGUUUUACGAUACGUCUUCCAAGAGUCAAGUUGUUUGGGAUUGCAGCUUAAAAUGGGAGGUAAAUUUCUCCUAAGGCUAAAUAACGGCGAGAGACCGAUAGCGAACAAGUACCGUGAGGGAAAGAUGAAAAGAACUUUGAAAAGAGAGUCAAACAGUACGUGAAAUUGUUGAAAGGGAAACGAUUGAAGCCAGUCGUACCGGCGGAUAAUCAGCCUUUAGGGUGCGAUUCUGUGGAGCGUGAGGAGCUUAAUCGCCUUUACGUUUGCAUAUUCGUGCACUUUUGGCGCACUUGUCCGUGUGGUGAGUUAACGUCAAUUUCGGUCGUCAUAAAAUGAUUGGAGGAAUGUAGCUUCGAUCUCGUAUCGUAGUGUUAUAGACUCUGGUAGAUGUGACAAUUGGGAUUGAGGAUUGCAACGGAUACCCUUCGGGGCUACCCGUCUGAUCUCUGAAGGUUGCUUCGGUGCCGAAAGCGUGCUUAUGGUCAUCGAAAGUGAUCAUCAAAAGGUUAGAACAGGUUAAAUUCGUUAAGGAUGUUGACGUAAUGGCUUUAAACGACCCGUCUUGAAACACGGACCAAGGAGUCUAACAUAUAUGCGAGUGUU
rnacentral:rRNA from 1 species